rnacentral:rRNA from 1 species
AUUGAACGCUGGCGGCAGGCCUAACACAUGCAAGUCGAACGAGUGGCGGACGGGUGAGUAAUGUCUGGGAAACUGCCUGAUGGAGGGGGAUAACUACUGGAAACGGUAGCUAAUACCGCAUACCAUCAGAUGGGCCCAGAGGGGAUUAGCUUGUGGGUGGGGUAACGGCUCACCAAGGCGACGAUCCCUACCUGAUCUGAGAGGUUGACCAGCCACACUGGAACUGAGACACGGUCCAGACUCCGACGGGAGGCAGCAGUGGGGAAUAUUUCACAAUGGGCGCAAGCCUGAUGCAGCCAUGCCGCGUGUAUGAAGAAGGCCUUCGGGUUGUAAAGUACUUUCAGCGGGGAGGCGUUACCCGCAGAAGAAGCACCGGCUAACUACGUGCCAGCAGCCGCGGUAAUUC